AGUGAACGCUGGCGGUAGGCCUAACACAUGCAAGUCGAACGGCAGCACAGUAAGAGCUUGCUCUUACGGGUGGCGAGUGGCGGACGGGUGAGGAAUACAUCGGAAUCUACUUUUUCGUGGGGGAUAACGUAGGGAAACUUACGCUAAUACCGCAUACGACCUACGGGUGAAAGCAGGGGAUCUUCGGACCUUGCGCGAUUGAAUGAGCCGAUGUCGGAUUAGCUAGUUGGCGGGGUAAAGGCCCAUCAAGGCGACGAUCCGUAGCUGGUCUGAGAGGAUGAUCAGCCACACUAGAACUGAGACACGGUCCAGACUCCUACGGGAGGCAGCAGUGGGGAAUAUUGGACAAUGGGCGCAAGCCUGAUCCAGCCAUACCGCGUGGGUGAAGAAGGCCUUCGGGUUGUAAAGCCCUUUUGUUGGGAAAGAAAAGCAGCAGGUUAAUACCCCGCUGUUCUGACGGUACCCAAAGAAUAAGCACCGGCUAACUUCGUG
rnacentral:rRNA from 1 species